GAGAGAGAGAGAGAGAGAAAGAGAGGGGGAGAGAGAGAGAGAGAAGAGAGAGAAGUUGAAUGUAAGUUUUGUGACGUGGACUCGACAGACGGGCACCACCACCUUGUCUGGUGUAAUACGACGGGAUGAUAAAGCGGGUUUUGUACACUCGUUAGACGUAGAACGCGAGUACCCUUUUCAAACAUUACCACAAUCGCCAUUGCCAUCGCCAUUGCCAUCAGCAUCACCAUCACAAUCUCAACGUAUUAUUGUAAAAGAAAUUCUCUCAUAAUUAUCGGCUUUGCCCCCGAAACAACGAGAGCUUCGAAGGGUGGUGGGGAAAGAAGUGGGGGUAGGGGGAAUGAUAAAGCACAACGAUGAUAAUAAUAAUGAUAAUAAUAAUAAUAACAAUAAUAAUAAUAAUAAUAAUAAUAAUAAUAAUAAUAAUAAUAAUAAUAAUAAUAAUAAGAAAUAAUUAUGAUCUUGCUACUGAUUAUAAAGAUGACUGCGAUUAUGUUUACGAUGAUUAUACGAUGAUUACGAGGAUGAACGAUGAUGGGAAGAGGAAAGGUUUAUGAGAGAGGGAUGGGAGGUGAUGGGAGGAACGACGACGUUAACUGAAGAAGGACAAAUGAUGAGAUUAAAAAGAAAGAGACUGGGGAAUGGAAUGGGAUGGGAUAGGUAAGGGAUGUAAGGAGGGGUUAGGGGAAGGGACGUAAGAUAUAAUGAGGUUGACGAGAAUGAAUGACGACAUGGAUGAUGAUGCGGGACAUAAGGGUUCUCUCUCUCUCUCUCUCUCUCU